UGGUAGUNCACGCCGUAAACGAUGAGUGCUAGGUGUUAGGCCCUUUCCGGGGCUUAGUGCCGCAGCUAACGCAUUAAGCACUCCGCCUGGGGAGUACGACCGCAAGGUUGAAACUCAAAGGAAUUGACGGGGGCCCGCACAAGCGGUGGAGCAUGUGGUUUAAUUCGAAGCAACGCGAAGAACCUUACCAGGUCUUGACAUCCCGAUGCCCGCUCUAGAGAUAGAGUUUUACUUCGGUACAUCGGUGACAGGUGGUGCAUGGUUGUCGUCAGCUCGUGUCGUGAGAUGUUGGGUUAAGUCCCGCAACGAGCGCAACCCUUAUUGUUAGUUGCCAUCAUUCAGUUGGGCACUCUAGCGAGACUGCCGGUAAUAAACCGGAGGAAGGUGGGGAUGACGUCAAAUCAUCAUGCCCCUUAUGACCUGGGCUACACACGUGCUACAAUGGCUGGUACAACGAGUCGCAAGUCGGUGACGGCAAGCUAAUCUCUUAAAGCCAGUCUCAGUUCGGAUUGUAGGCUGCAACUCGCCUACAUGAAGUCGGAAUCGCUAGUAAUCGCGGAUCAGCACGCCGCGGUGAAUACGUUCCCGGGCCUUGUACACACCGCCCGUCACACCACGAGAGUUUGUAACACCCGAANU
rnacentral:rRNA from 1 species